rnacentral:tRNA from 2 species
CAAGGCGUAGCUAUAAACCACAAAGCAUUCAGCUUACACCUGAAAGAUGCCCUAAGACUGGGUCGCCUUGA